GUAUUUCACCCUGCCUCUGCAUAUAGUCAUUACUAUAUCAUAAACAUCACAUUUAUCCAAACUACAAGCUAGAACUAGCACAUUUUCAUUUCACUGGUAGAAUCGGGAAGUUUCGACUCCCUGUGUAUUGGUCUGCUCAUAGUGAACCUCAAAGUCCGGCAUUCAUAGUGAAUACUGAUACCGCACGGCAGGUAGAGGGGACGUGCACAAAAACUUGAAUAAUGGUGCUGUUUACUUCGAACGACCAAUACACAUUAAUCUCAGGGCUUCUCUAGGCAAGAUUUUUGAGAAAACGUUUAUUUUUCACUGUUUGUCCUCAUGUCCGUGUGAUGUUCUAUGCCUGGCUGUCCUAAUUACAAACAAGCGUCAUCUUUCACCAUUCUACCUACAAGACUCACCCUGAUUCUGCUGCUAUCAAGAAUGAUGCGGUGACCAAAGAUUAUCAGAGGGAUUUUCAGGCUGAACUGAUGGGGAAUCCAUUUCGACGACAGCUGAGAAGUGAUGCGAUACCAUCAAUUUUUUUCCUUCACAACAAAACAGAAGAUUCUUUAUUAGAGGUUAUCUGGAGUCAUUCCACAGUGCCCUGCUGAAAAAUACCCCAAAGAGGAGGCAUUUUGGGUACACUAGCAUGAGGAACGGGACACACCUUGCAGAUUCUCAAAACACAAUACAAAGACACCUCUACAAAAUUCCCCUCCAAAGGGCUUCUAUUGACAAGGAUGAUCUGUCAAAGUCAAUUGACUGGGGGAGGUUUACAGACAGCACUUUGAGAUGAGAGACGUGCAGUACCAGCAAAUCUUCUUCAAGAGGACCAAACAGUUGGUGGUUAAGAAGCCCUACUCCACUUUCGGCAGAGUCUUAUCCAGCUGGCCGUUCACCGCGACAGGACAAGCACAUCGCCAUAAGCACAAAGAGUCUUGGCUUCCCAAGCCAACCAUUGCCAGUGUACUGAAGCCUGAUAAAUAAAAUAAAAUUGCAUUGGUCGCAUACACAUAUUUAGCAGAUGUUACUGCGGGUGUAGCAAAAUGCUUGU